rnacentral:rRNA from 1 species
GAGUUUGAUCCUGGCUCAGGAUGAACGCUGGCGGCGUGCUUAACACAUGCAAGUCGAACGCUGAAGCCCCAGCUUGCUGGGGUGGAUGAGUGGCGAACGGGUGAGUAACACGUGAGUAACCUUCCCUUGACUCUGGGAUAAGCCUGGGAAACCGGGUCUAAUACCGGAUACGACCGGUCACCGCAUGGUGGCCGGUGGAAAGAUUUAUCGGUCUUGGAUGGACUCGCGGCCUAUCAGCUGGUUGGUGGGGUAAUGGCCCACCAAGGCGACGACGGGUAGCCGGCCUGAGAGGGUGACCGGCCACACUGGGACUGAGACACGGCCCAGACUCCUACGGGAGGCAGCAGUGGGGAAUAUUGCACAAUGGGCGCAAGCCUGAUGCAGCGACGCCGCGU